rnacentral:rRNA from 1 species
GACGAACGCUGGCGGCGUGCUUAACACAUGCAAGUCGAACGGAAAGGCCCUGCUUUUGUGGGGUGCUCGAGUGGCGAACGGGUGAGUAACACGUGAGUAACCUGCCCUUGACUUUGGGAUAACUUCAGGAAACUGGGGCUAAUACCGGAUAGGAGCUCCUGUUGCAUGGUGGGGGUUGGAAAGUUUCGGCGGUUGGGGAUGGACUCGCGGCUUAUCAGCUUGUUGGUGGGGUAGUGGCUUACCAAGGCUUUGACGGGUAGCCGGCCUGAGAGGGUGACCGGCCACAUUGGGACUGAGACACGGCCCAGACUCCUACGGGAGGCAGCAGUGGGGAAUAUUGCACAAUGGGCGGAAGCCUGAUGCAGCAACGCCGCGUGCGGGAUGACGGCCUUCGGGUUGUAAACCGCUUUCGCCUGUGACGAAGCGUGAGUGACGGUAAUGGGUAAAGAAGCACCGGCUAACUACGUG